rnacentral:rRNA from 1 species
UACGUAGGGGGCAAGCGUUAUCCGGAUUUACUGGGUGUAAAGGGAGCGUAGACGGCCAGACAAGUCAGAAGUGAAAGCCCAGGGCUCAACCCUGGGACUGCUUUUGAAACUGCCGGGCUGGAGUGCAGGAGAGGUAAGCGGAAUUCCUAGUGUAGCGGUGAAAUGCGUAGAUAUCGCGCAGAACUCCGAUCGCGAAGGCAGGUGUCCGGGGUGCAACUGACGCUGAGGCUCGAAAGUGCGGGUAUCAAACAGG